rnacentral:rRNA from 1 species
CCCUUAGAUGUUCUGGGCCGCACGCGCGCUACACUGAUGCAUUCAACGAGUUUCUUCCUGGUCCGAGAGGAAUGGGUAACCUUUUGAAAGUGCAUCGUGAUAGGGAUAGACUAUUGCAAUUAUUGGUUUUCAACGAGGAAUUCCUAGUAGACGUAGUUCAUCAGACUGCAUCGAUUACGUCCCUGCCCUUUGUACACACCGCCCGUCGCUCCUACCGAUUGAAUGCUCAGGUGAGCCAUUCGGACUUUCAUCAUGCUGGUUUCCAGUUUUGAUGAAGGAAAGUCUUGCGAACCUUAUCAUUUAGAGGAAGGAGAAGUCGUAACA